AAAGUUAGAAGAGAAGAUCCCUUGCACCCCCAUACCCCCAAAAUACGUCCUCAGUGUAGAUGCAAGCGUAAACCCUAACUAGGGUUUUGCUCAAAUACAAUAACCCUGUUGAGGGCAGUGAGAAAAUUUAAAUACGGUUGCAGGAUCCAAAAUUUUGUCGUAGGAGCGUGCUCUGAUUGUUCGCUAAGGUGCACAGGUUUAUAGUCAGAUCGUUAACCUAGUUAGAGCGAUCUUAUUUUCGUAUUUGUUUUUUUCCUGCAUUUCUAUUGAACAAUACCAGUUCUAUUUGUGGAGUGCUUUUAAAGUUUUAACGCCGUUUCUUUAUUUUUCUACCUGUUUGAAUUUCCCGUUGUUGUCUGGUUAAUUCGAUGAUAAAUUUAUUUAAAUUUGCCUUUCUUUUCAUUACAAUGUUUUGCCAAUGAUGGUUUUAAAUAUACUUCGAGGUGUACAAUGAGAACGCUUUUCACUGAGGCAAACAUAUAGAGUCCAGAUUUUUUAUCCUUUUUCAGUGUUUUUCUUUUGGCAGGAUGCUUUAUAGGAUAUGUCUUUGUGAGGUGUUUUGGAAAAUCAACCGAUAUAUGUUAGGUUUUGCUUACUCCUGAAAGAUUGUUUUUUGUGUUAUAAUGAUUGUUUGUAGUGUUAGUCCUCUUUUCUGAACAUUCUUACCGACUGUCAUUAGGCCAUUAUACUGACGGUUGCAUCGGCCGUCGACCGAACGUUUGGUCUUAGCUCCGUUCUUGGUUGAUCGGCUUUGCAGUUUAUAUUCUAUUAAUCUGCGAAGCCAGCAGAUUCGGUAAAGAUCGGAGUCCAGCUUAUCAAAUUCUUCACUCUUUAAAGUAGCUGUGUUAUAGGGGGGGUUCUGUUUGCUAUUUUAUUUUCUCGGUUGUUGGGAAAUUUUUCUAGCUUCAUUCAUAAAAAUGUCUAAAAUUUAAAAUUCGAAGAUACAUACCGUAAGCUUAGGAUGUUGUUUUAAGUUAAAAAUGUUAUUAAGAUGCUAGGAUACCGGUGAUACUCCCGCAUGAAUGUUGCACUACUCUCUGGGUUCAGAACAUUCAGCUCGUUUAAUAUCAAAUACUUAAGUUGUCCUAAAAUACAACAAUGCGUAACACAAAUUUGCACGACUAUAGAUUAGAUUGAAAAAGGACAACAAAUUUGAAUAUGAUCUUUAGAUUUCUAAAGUUUGAAUUUUAAAUUUAGAUAUGUAAAAAUGAUCCGGAACAUAUCAAUAUUUGUGAAUUUGAAGUAAGAUGAUAUGCCAAUUAAAAUUAAUUUUUAAUUAAUUAAUGAUGAAAAUAAACCUAAAAUAAAUCAAAUUUAACGUAAGUAUAUAUUGCUAAUAAUUUUUUAUAAAACAAACAAGAUUUUUUAAGAAGAAAAUGGGUAUACGAUAUGACCUUCGGUAUGUUUAAAAUUCCAAAUUUGUAAGCAGCAAGCGCUAGGAAAAGCUGGAAAAGAAUUUCCCCUUGCAGAGACCAGGGCCUUGCUUAUCCGCUUCUUUUACCCAUGCCCCCAAUAUAUGUCCUCAGUCUCGAUGCAAGCCAAAACCCUAUCUAGGUUUCCACUCAAAUACCAUAAUCCUGUUAAGGGGAGCGAGAGAAUUUAAAUAGCCUCGCAGGAUCAAACAUGUAUGGCGGGAUAGUGUUCGCUUAAGUGUGUGGAUUUAUAUUCAGAUCGUUAAUCUAUUUAGAGCUUGUCAUAUUUCGUUUUUGUUGAGCAUUUUUUUUUGCUGCAUUCCUAUUCUACCAUAUAAGUUGUCUUUGUGGAGUGCUUUUAAAGUUUUAAUGCCGAUACUUGAUGUGUCUACACGUUUGUAAUCCCUUCUUGUGAGUUUGUCUCUUUUCUAAAAAUGGAAUGCCAAUGAUGGUUUUAAAUAUACUUCGAGGUGUACAAUGAGAACGCUUUUCACUGAGGCAAUCUUGAGUUCAGAAAAUUAUUUUUUAUUUUCAAAGUGUUUUUCUAUUUGCAGAAUGCUAUAUAGGAGGUUUUGAAAAAUCAAAUGUUUUAUUCUAAAUCUUGCUUACUCUUGAAAGAUUGACUUUUUGUGUUUUAAAGAUUGAUCAUGGUGUUGGUCCAUCUACUGAUAUGGUUGCAUCGACCGUCAAACAUGUGGUCUUAGUUCUGUUCUUGGUUCAUUGGGUUUACAGUUUACGUUCUAUUGAUAUAGCAACAGAUUCAGCAGGAUUGAAGCCCAGCGCAUCAAAUCCUUCGUUGUUUAAGCCUAAGGUGAAUGAUCUUUACAGCAAAAUCUUCUCCUAGGCUGUGGGGGAAAUUUAAAAUCUAAAUAGUCUUGUAAUUUGUCGACAAGGUAUUUUUCCCUUAUUUUUUUGUCAGAUUUUAUUUUACAGUAAUUUUUAUUUUAUACAUAAUGCCCUCUUCUUUAAAAAGGGUAGCGCUGAACCGGUUUAAUGGGGACUCUUUUUCCGGCCUGACUACUUUAUUUAUUUAUUUUUUUGAUUGGUUUGACUACUUUAUAUUCAAGUUAUAUCAGUAACCUCUUAGUUCACUACUUUGUUGAUUUUACCAUUUUUAAUCUUUUUUUGCUUUUUGUAUCCUUUUUCUUAUACAACGAAUGAAAUAAAUUUGUGUGCGAUUAUUUGCUUGUGGAUUCCGGCUGAUUUGUUUCAUUGUUGUGUAGGAAAAGGGGGAACAAACUUGAAAAUUAUUAUAUUAUAUUAACAUCUGAAUGAAACACUACAUCUGAGAUUCACCUCUAUCUUUCAUACACCAUUAAAAUCUUUGUCAUAACAUCUUACACGUGGAGCUGGACUCUGCCGAGAGGAUGAGUAUAGUUCAGACAUUAUAUAGAAAGCUGGGUGCAUAGAUUUUUUGAGAGAGAUAGACAUAAAAUAAUAUAUAUUUGAAUCACCCACAAUCCGUGAGAACACUUUAGAUGGGACGGUGGCCAGGUUGGAGGAGUCCAGUUGAAUCCAUGAAAGAUCUGCCUUCAAUGCUUCUCUUAAAUUCUGUGGAUAUGUUUGUGCAAAUGGAGGAUACAUAACUGACUGUACUGCUGGGGUAGUUGGGAUUUCAAUCUCCAACAUUCUCCCUUAAUCACAACUACAAAUUCUGACUGCUUUUUUAGUCUCUAUAACUGAUGCUUUUUUAGUCUCUAUAACUGAUGCUUUUUUAGUCUCUAUAACUGAUGCUUUGGCAUCAAGAAUCUUCAAUUUAUAGAGAAUCAAACCCAAGAAAUCCCAUGAUUCUGUGGGAUAGCUCUAACUAGGAGCUCUGGUCUUCUUGUUUUCUCUCAACAUUUCCAAUUGAGUCACACUGCCGGUGCUCUGGGAUCCUAGCUUGGGCUCCACUGACCUCAUACAUUGCCAACACAAAUACAGAUUGCUGCAGCAUUCAACCAUGUUAUUUUUUUAUCCAUUGAUAACUUCACCCAUAUAUUAACAACCUUAGAUAACUGGUAUCCUCCUGAUCUUCUAUGACCUUAGACAAACUUAACACGUCUCUGUCCAUAAAAUGAUCAAACUUUACCUUUAGGCUUCUCUCCUCACAAUUCUAUGACCUUAAUUUAGAAUCAUUAUAAAUCCAAAACACCAACAAAAUAUACUGUACUUUCUUUACCUUUUUAUUCUGGAGUCCAAAUUAGCACCUUCUACUGGGUGAAUUGCUAAUGGGGAUCUCCUGCAAUCAGUUCACAAGACUACUCAUGGCUUCAACAACCUCCUUUUAACUUAGCGGCAUCCUUGCCUAGAGAUGACGACCUCAUUAAACUUUAAUUUCAUGCAAGUUCUUCACGUCUUGGCCAGCAACAUCUGCGAUUAAUCUGACUCUGGUGACAAUGGCUAUUGGCUUCAGCCUUUUACCAUAUGUCCUCUUCAAUAUGCCUACGAUCUCCUCUAUGGUGGCUUCAAACUUUUGUGAGAGCUUCAGCUCUUUAAAAAAAAACACUAUUACAUUAAUCUGACUCUUGAGGGCUUCAUACAAAGACAUUGCAAAGACUGAGCUUCAGCUUAACAUACAGAACACAGUUGAUUUCAGCUCUUUCAUAAACACCUUCAGAGCUUUGGCUCUUUGCAAACAUGCUGAUACCAUUACAUUCAUGCUUACAACUCCUUACAGUCUAUGCCUUUUAAUCAUCAACACUUAUUUUUGGGCAGGCAAGCCUUCUGGCUCGCUGACAUCUUCAACAAAGACAUCAGCUGCAGCUUCUUUUUGUCCGAUACUGCUACAGUAGUCCAAAGUAGCAGCUUCUUUUUGAACAAUGACUCCUUUUAACAGAAGCAAUUUUUUUUACUCCCAGUUCACAUAAUUGACAUAGCUCUGAUACCAUUUGUAGGAUAAGGGUGAGCAGAAUUAAAAGAAAUUAAACAUUACAAAUUUAAAAUUAUACAUCCAAAUGAAACGCUACAUAUGAGCUUCAGCUCUAUGUUUCAGACAUUACAAUCUUCCUCAUAACAUCUUAAAGCUCUGCGGAGCUGGACUUUGCUGAGAGAGAGUACAAGGUACAGAUUCAGAAAUUAUAUAGAGUGCUGGGUCCAUAGGUGGAGAGAGAGACAAAGUAAUAUAAUUUUGAAUCACUCAUGAUCCAUGAGAGCACUGCAGAUGUGGAUGGUGGCCGGGUUGGAGGAUUUUAAUCGAAUCCAUGAAAGAUCGCCUUCAAUGCUUCUCUUAAAUGCUGCAGAAUUGUUUGUGCAUACAGAGGAUACAGAACUGACUGGAGAGCUGAGGUAGUUGGGAUUACAAUCUCCAACAUGUUGAAUGUUUGAAGCUUUUGGUCAUGUAAGUUUAGGUCAUUUACAUAUUUCAAAAGCAUCAGAAGAUAUGUUGUGUUUUCAAUAUUACAAGAUAUGAUAUGAUUUCAAAAGUUAUAGUGAAAAUGUGGUAAAGUGCCUCCGAUGAUUUCUAUGGCCACAAGAAUACUACUGCAUUUUUUUGCGAUUUCAUUAAUCUUAUGUAUUAAGUUGUCUCGA